CCACGCCGUAAACGAUGAGUGCUUGGUGUAGCGGGUAUCGACCCCUGCUGUGCCGAAGUCAACACAUUAAGCACUCCGCCUGGGGAGUACGGUCGCAAGACUGAAACUCAAAGGAAUUGACGGGGGCCCGCACAAGCGGUGGAGCAUGUGGUUUAAUUCGAAGCAACGCGCAGAACCUUACCUGGGUUUGAACUGCACAGGAAAGUCUCAGAGAUGAGAGCCCCUCUUCGGAGGUCUGUGUAGAGGUGCUGCAUGGCUGU
rnacentral:rRNA from 1 species